rnacentral:tRNA from 1 species
GCACUCGUAGAUCAGUGGAUAGAUCGUUUCCCUCCGAAGGAAAAGGCCGCAGGUUCGAAUCCCGCCGGGUGCA